UCCAUACUUGACAAUCUUCUUCUUCUUCUGGCCUUUAGGCUGGGGGUAUUUCUGAGGGGACAGGAGAAGCAGCUAUUCAAACCACUGAGUAAAACAUUUUUAGAACCGCCACUGCACAAAGACGUAAUGCAUUCCGGUCUCCAAGGCACUUAACACGGUGGGAGAGAAGUUCUGGAUAAUAAAAAGAAAACAAUAACCUGGAAGUUUAUAGUGGAGACAGCUGGAUGACAUAGAGAAAAUAAUUUUUUAUGGAGCUGACAUCAGCUCACUGUUCUUCAAGGACAAAGAAAACACCAACUGAAUUCAAAACAGAAGAUAUGUAUUAGUGAAUGAAGAUAAACUUUCCAAACAUCUGUGAAAAAUCUGCAGAUUACACAGUUUAUCUGGACAAAGAUGGGAAGGUCCAAUCUUCAAUUUUUGGAAUUGGUCAUCAACACAAAUCUAUAUUCAAUUAUGUAUCUGGUUGUUUGUGUAUUUUUGGAUAGUAUUGUAGUAUUUUUCCACAGUACUACCCAGUCACAAUCCAAUGGUUGACCUUCACC